GACGAACGCUGGCGGCGUGCCUAAUACAUGCAAGUCGAGCGAAGUUUUCCUGUUUCUUGCCCUAGGAAUACUUAGCGGCGGACGGGUGAGUAACACGUACAGAACCUCCCUCAUAGACUGGUACUACUAUUGGAAACGAUAGCUAAUACCGGAUAACAGUAUUUCUCGCUUGAGCGGUGUUUAAAAGUUGGUUAUGCUAACACUAUGAGAUGGCUUUGCGGUGCAUUAGCUAGUUGGUGGGGUAAAGGCAUCCCAAGGCGACGAUGCAUAGCCCACCUGAGAGGGUGAUCGGCCACACGGGGAGUGAGACACGGCCGCGACUCCUACGGGAGGACGCAGUAGGGAAUCUUACGCGAUGGGCGAGAGCCUGACGGAGCAACGCCGCGUGAGUGCAGAAGGAUUUCGGUUCGGAAAGCUCUGUUGUUAGGGAAGAAUGAAUAUGUAGUAACCAUAGAUGUAAAAGACGGUACCUGGCCAGAAAGCCACGGCUAACUACGUG
rnacentral:rRNA from 1 species